CAGCAGCCGCGGUAAUACGUAGGGUGCAAGCGUUAAUCGGAAUUACUGGGCGUAAAGCGCGCGCAGGCGGUUCGVAAAGAAAGGUGUGAAAUCCCAGGGCUCAACCUUGGAACUGCACUUUUAACUGCCRGGCUUGAGUCUCGYAGAGGGGGGUAGAAUUCCAGGUGUAGCGGUGAAAUGCGUAGAGAUGUGGAGGAAUACCGAUGGCGAAGGCAGCCCCCUGGGAUGAUACUGACGCUCAUGCACGAAAGCGUGGGGAGCAAACAGGAUUAGAUACCCUGGUAGUCCACGCCCUAAACGAUGUCAACUAGCUGUUGGGGUUUAUUAACCUUAGUAGCGCAGCUAACGCGUGAAGUUGACCGCCUGGGGAGUACGGUCGCAAGAUUAAAACUCAAAGGAAUUGAC
rnacentral:rRNA from 1 species